rnacentral:rRNA from 1 species
GAUGAACGCUGGCGGCGUGCCUAAUACAUGCCAGUCGAGCGAACGGACGAGAAGCUUGCUUCUCUGAUGUUAGCGGCGGACGGGUGAGUAACACGUGGAUAACCUACCUAUAAGACUGGGAUAACUUCGGGAAACCGGAGCUAAUACCGGAUGAUAUUUUGAACCGCAUGGUUCAAUAGUGAAAGACGGUCUUGCUGUCACUUAUAGAUGGAUCCGCGCUGCAUUAGCUAGUUGGUAAGGUAACGGCUUACCAAGGCAACGAUGCAUAGCCGACCUGAGAGGGUGAUCGGCCACACUGGAACUGAGACACGGUCCAGACUCCUACGGGAGGCAGCAGUAGGGAAUCUUCCGCAAUGGGCGAAAGCCUGACGGAGCAACGCCGCGUGAGUGAUGAAGGUCUUCGGAUCGUAAAACUCUGUUAUUAGGGAAGAACAAAUGUGUAAGUAACUAUGCACGUCUUGACGGUACCUAAUCAGAAAGCCACGGCUAACUACGUG